GACGGCCGCUCGAGCCUCGGCGCGACCGAGCGCUUUCUCGCGCGCCAGCUCACGCACGCGCGAGUGCGCGCUGCCCGCCUCCCCUCCCCCUCGUAGGAGCGGGGCGACCAAUCCUGCUGCCGCACACAGAUGGCCGCCCCCGUGCGGGGGCGGGGUCACGUGGUGACGGCACUGCAGAGAGGAGGUCAGCCCCGGCUAGCCAAUCACCACCCUGGGAGAGGGUCGCGGCUUGCGCGUCAAAAGGGCUCAGGAAGCAACCACUGCCUUGGCGAAACCCCACCCUUGCAGGCCCUACCACAUUCUUCUUCCAACUGCCAUCUGCACUGCCUAGUCUCAUAAAGUUACCUAGACUAGCUUUGAACUUGAACUUGUGAUUAUCCAUCCUGUCUCAGCUUCCUGAAUAGCCUGGAUUAUAAACCUGCAACUCCAAGACCAGCAGAAACAUCAUCUUAAAGUAACCAAAAGCUCCACAGAAGUGGUGACUGUUGUUAGCCAUGGAAGUUCUGGUUUCUUCCUUGCACCAUGGGGAGCUAGUGUAAACAGAGCUCAGUAAACAACAACUCAGCAGCUGUAAUCAAGACCUUGGCUCUCAGGACUUCCCAGCGUUAGCACAUGUAUGUGCCAUAGAGAAUUGUUAACAGCAAUCCUACACAUGAAGAAAUGAAUGCUAAUUACCUCUGUGAUGCUCAUUCUACAUCAGCCAUGUCUUAGCGCCAGCUGCUGACUUGUCUGUCAGGUCUGGUCCUGUCUGUUCCUACACUGACACUACGGUGUUGCGUGACCCCAACCAGUAUUUUUCCUUUUUUCAGGCAGGGUCUUACUCUGAUACUCAGGUUGGAACUCAAUAUGGCUGCCCUUAGAACUCAUGGCAAUCUUCCUGCCUCAGAUGCCCAAAAGCUGGGAUUUGCUGGUGCGAGCCACCACAGCUGGCUUGCAACCAGUAAUUUUAUCUGAUGGACUGCACUGACUUGACAUGCCAUGGCAAUCAUUCUUCCAUGGCAUGCGUUUUAAAAAUGGCUAGUCAUUAGAAAAUGUGUUUUGGAACAACUGCACUGUUUGGAUGCUUCCAGCACUUUGAGCUGAGGGAAAUGAGCCUUGGCUGUGUUUCUGUACUGCCAAAUGUCCCUCCCCAAAGGCCGCCCUCAUUUAGGCUUUCUCUCAAGUGAGCACAGCUCUGGGCAGGCAUGCUCUGGCAGGGUGGGGCCCAGGAGACACCUACUUGGGCGGCUUCUCCACAGUGCGGUAGGAGUUGAAAGACUGCAGCUGGUUCUGGACUCCGUUCAGGGAGUUGGCCAGUUGCCUGUCAUUGAGGGUCACAAUCGUUUGUUCAAUCCACUGCAGCAGCUCAGAGGCCAGGGACUCAUAUUUCUCUACCAGGUGUUCUGCCUCCAUGGCAUGGUCCAGGACCUGUGGGACAGGAGGUAGGUAAGUGCGUGUCCUACCCAGAGCUAUAGCUCCACCCUGCCCCAUUUUGGGGGAGUGAGACA